rnacentral:lncRNA from 1 species
AAUUCAUGAAUUCCCAUAGCUUACCUGAAGAAACUAGUGUUGCAGAUGGACACAUUCUCUAUCCCUUUUUAUUGUAUGUCUUUUCUUUUCCAGAGUUUUACAUGCAAUUGGCCCAAAUGGUUCUGGCAAAUCAAAUGUCAUUGAUUCAAUGCUGUUUGUGUUUGGCUAUCGUGCUAGCAAGAUUCGCUCAAAAAAAAUUUCCGUCUUACUUCACAAGUCUGAAAAAACAUCGCGACAUUAAAAGCUGCACGGUGCAAGUCCACUUCCAGCUGAUUAUGACAAGGAUGGGUGAGGAGUAUGAGGUCGUGCCAAACUCAAAAGUUGUAUUGGCAGGACAGCAUUUGCUGACAACUCUUCUUUUAUACGCUCAAUGAUAAGAGGGUGCAAUUCAAAGAGGUAGCCAAAGUGUUGGCUCGUCAUGGCAUUGAUCUGAUUCACAACAGAUUCUUGAUUUCUACAGGGUGAAGUUGAGCAAAUAGCCAUGAUGAAACCAAAGGGCCUAACACCACAUGAAACAGGCAUGCUGGAGUACUUGGAAGACAUCAUUGGAACUACCCGUUACAAAACUCCAAUCCAAAAACUUGAGGAACAAGCAGAAAUUCUCAAUACAGAAAAAAACAGAGAAACAAAAUCGCCUUCAACUUGUUGAGAAAGAACGUGAUGCCUUAGAAGAGCCUAUGAGAGAGGCUAUCAAGUUCCUUGAGACAGAAAAUGAAGUUAAUCUUCUUCGUAACAAGCAUUGGCAAAAAUAUGUUUAUCUACACAAGAAGGAUAUUGAGAAGCUGGAGGCAGAAAAAGCAGAAAUUGAGGAAGGCAUGUCUGAAUUGAAAAAGAAGUUGAAAGAUCUAGAAGACAGCACAAAGGAAACUACAGAUUCAAUUAAGGCCAAAGAAAAGGAACUAGCGGCAAUGAGGGAGCAGUUCGAGGCAAAAAGACCAAAAAUUCAAGCAAUACUCACUCCAGGACACCACAAUUGCUGCCGACCUGAAAGAAACCAACAAAAAGCGGAAAAAACUGAUGGAAGACAAAAAGAAGGAAGAGAAUAAACUGGCUGAGUUAAAGGCGUUGCCAGAAAAAAUGCAAAAGAAAUUGCAGAAUUGCAAGCUCUAGCAACACGUUUGGAAGCAGACCGAGUGAAAGAAGAGGCACAGAGGGACAAAAUCUUGGCCUCUUUACGAACGGACACAAAGAGCCUUCAGGAUGAUAAAGACAAGCUCCAAGCUAAGCAGAUUGAUCUGAAGAAGACGGCCGAUGAUGCCAAAGCAAAGGUCAGUGUGACUUUCUUAGUACAAUUCCUUUCUUAAAUAACAGUAUGUAUGAUCUUGUGAGGAAUGUUGCCCAAAAAGGUAUUGUCACAAGGUUUUUUUAAGG